AUGAUCAAAAUGUUGUUUGUUGGUAUGAAGAUACACUGUAAAUCAAACUGGUCCCUACUACUACAGGUAUAUAAUUCUAUGGUGGAAGGUGGCCAGGACCCUAGAGAUGAUAUGAAAUCUCCACCAUCUGCAGCCCUUAGAAGUAGGGCGGUAUGCAUCAAAAGAAGUGUAAAACAGUCUUGGCUCUUGAGGAGAAAGUCAAGGGUUCAGAAGACUGUUGAGACGGAAGGGAUCAAAACUAUCCAUCACUUCCAGAAAUUCUAGUGUCCCUGUGAUACUGAGUAAGUAAAGUUAAAAUUAUUACAAUGAAGAACUUAAUACUUAAUUUACAACUAC
rnacentral:lncRNA from 1 species